AUUAGUAUUUGGCGCGAAUGAAUUUUGUGAAUGGACUCAUAUUAUUUUUCCGUAAAAAUAUACAUUUAUUUGAUGAUUAUUUAAAAAAAUAAUCUUAAAAAAGUAUUUCUAAAAAUUUUAAGUAUAUUCAUGGUUGCUAUCAGUCCCAUGGUGAUUCAAAACUGGAAUUCGUGGUGGAGAAUGAACUGGUUGAGGGUACGGUGAAUCAAUGACUUCCGUUGCAAUAGGAGCAUUGUUUAAAAUCGGAUAAUCAUCAUUGACUUCCUUAUACUUCUCGCAAAAUGAUGGUGAAUUUAUUGGAGACGUCACUUGUCUAGAUGUUAUAACUGAUGAUAAUGAUGAUGAAGCAUCAACGGAAGAUGAAACUGGAACAUUUUGAUGAGUGUUUAUGUCAGACUUUCCUUGAGAGGCAGAUGCUCCCUUCAUUGAUUUCACCUAUUGCAAUCCAGUGGCAAGAUGACGAGCCAAUUUUUCUCCAGACUCUCCAGGAAGUGACGCGAGAUAUUUGCAUGCUUCGGCUGCACAGUGCCCGAAUCCAGAUUGCCAUCGACUCUCAGCUACUGCAUCUUCAUUUGAGAUUGUGGAAGAUAAUCCAGACGGUCUAGAUGCUUGGAGCCUUUGAAGGUGACGUACGUUCUCGAUACUGGAUGAGGAUAAUCAUACGCCAUCAUCGCAAAUUAAACUUAAAAAAAAAUCUUGAUAUUCACAAUCACACUUGGCUUCACUGUGUCAAUGUCAAGCUCCAACCGGAUAAGUGGAUGAAUAAAAAGAC